UCUCAAAAAUAGUAGACCAGUGUUAUUUUUGGUGGUACGUGGUAUUUUAGUGACACCUAUAGUUAAGUUUGGCCAGCGUUUUCUAUUGUAAGAUCUUGUUUGCAGUUACAUAUAACUUUGCCAAAGUUAAACUGUUAGGGCUGAAAAUUCCCAUCUGCUUUGUUGAGAACCUGUCACAACUCCAUUCUGUGGAACAAGGACUUGAAAUGUGUCAGGGUGGGAUGUCCGUUUGCCCUUCUGUUACAGAAAUGUUUUCAUGUGGCCUUUGAAAAAUCUGUAUAUGUUCAGUAGAGACUUGUUAGAGAUUGACAGCUAAAUUCUCUGAAGCAUGCUCCAGCCCCUCUCAGCUUCUACAUGCCAACUGGACUGCGCAUGUGCCUUCCCUAUAGAGUGAUUGAAAAUGCUCCAUCCCAGGGCUGCAGUGGCUGAAUAGGACUUUCUUUGCAAUUGUUCUGCUAGAGGGAGAACAUGGAAACGUUUUUUUCCUGUGCGCUCAAUGCCUUCCCUACUGUGUGUGUGGUUAGUGAGGAGGAGGAGUUGGCCUGACUUGACUGUAGAAAGGUGAGGGGUGGAGGACAGACAAGGGUAGAAGCUGGCAGGAGGUGGAAUUCAGGGACAGGUGCUGGAAAGGGAAGUGACAGGAGCAGAGGGGGAUAGAAACAAAAGGGAGAGAACUGAGGGGGCGGGGAGAAUAGGAGUGACAGGGAGCAGAGCAGGAGUAAGGCAUGGGGGUGAUGAGUAGGAGCCGGGAGGGAUAGUCAUGGGGAAAAUUGGGGAGUAAGGUGGGUAGGAGCAGAAAGGGAGAAGGAGAGGAAUGGGGCGGAAGGGCUAUAACCACUAAAGCACACUCCCCUGCAGGACCUGGAAAGGAACCCAUUUUUCCUGCGUCUCAACAUUCUUUUGCUGUCUAGUAAACAGGUGAGGAACCCACUGGUAAAGUAUGUUCCCAUCCCACUCUAAUGGCACGUACACAUAGAAGAUACUACAUUAAUUCAGGUGGCAGAGGACUGAUAUAGAUUUAAAGUUCCUAACCCUGCUGGUGACCCAUGUGGGGUGUUCAGUAUGUCUGCACAGGAUGCCAUUUUUUUUUCAUUUACGUUUUUAAAAUUUAGGAAGCUAUUUCAGAGAUACUAUGCUAAAACAUUUAGGUUUGUAAAGCCAAACACUCAGAAGUUAGGAAAUGCCAAAAUUAGGUUCCCUGUGUAACCUUUAGAGUGAUGUCUUCAGUGUAUGCAUUAUGACACAGUCUUUAAUUACAUGGUCACAUACUGUUUUUUCCACCAGACUUCUGCCUCAUUCAGUGAAAAGGAUGGACUGUCAUCUGGGAAUGAAUGAGUCGAGCAGUAAAUAAGGGAUUUGUAGGACCCCUGCCUCAUUAAUUGUGAAAAUUGGAAAGUGUGGAAAAUGAGGCAGGGAUCCGGUAGGAAGAGAAAAGGUAGUUUUGUGCUUCAAGCAGUUGAAUGCUGCUCCAAAGAAGUGGGUUUUAUCUCUGCUUCUACCACAGAGUUCUUACUUGGUGCUGGGCAUGUGUCCUAAACCAAAAUAUUCCCAGGCAACCACAGUUAGUUCCUUAUUUUCUGGGUACCGAACCCUGAGGACUGAUUUGUAUCAGCAGUGAAUGCUCCAACUGCCACUGAGGUCAGUGAGCUUUACUCUGAACGUAUAAAAUGCUAAAUACACUGAAAAACCAGGCCCAAGGCUUCCCAGAUUGAGUACCCAAAUUGACGUUUCUGGCAAUUUUGGCUUUAAUCUCUGUGCCUCCAUAUCCCAUGUGUAAAAUGGGGAUAAUACCACCUGUUGUAUGAAUUUAGAUAAAAUAAAUAGGUCAAAAGUGUUAACAUAACUUCAUCACUGUCCAGCAUUAAACAAGGUCUAGAGUUUCGUAUACAGAGACCUCAGCCUGUCCAAUACUAUGGCAAAGCAACCAUUAUAAAUCCUUUUAACUUUUUAUUACAGAUCGAGAAGGAGGAAAAACAGUUUAAAGCAUCUGACAUGUAAAGUAUUAGGAGAAAAAUCCACAUCUCAGCAAAAUAGACCUUCUGGCAAAGGUUUCUUCCAUGUUUUGUUUCACAUUAGAAACUGCAUUUGUCUUUAGUGGUUGUAUGCUUGCUUGGCAGAAGAAUGUUUUGACCAUUAAGUUUAAAGAAUCUAAUGACCACUUUGGAUAAAGGACUCAUUCAGUAUCCCAGCACCUUCAGUUAAAGUGAGAUCUCACAAUACACCAAAACUGACCUGCAGCAAAGUCUGGAAAGACUAGACUUGAUAUGUCCAAGACAGCCUGAAAUCAUGGACCUGAGGAGUGAACCAGCAUCGUCUAUAACUCCCUGAAGUUCCCACGAGACUUCCAGUGUGCUGCAGAAGACUGCCCCAGAAUCCAGGGACUUAGAGCCAGCUUGCUGCAGAGUACACCACGGCUGCUUUUGUUUACUUACAUGCAAAAUUCAGGUUUCUGAAGUUUCUCCUCUACACUUUGAGGACUAGUUGCUUUCUUUUCAUGCUGUUUGGGAAGAGAGAGUUCCAAACUUCUAAGUUGUCAGGACAAGCUCUGCAGGUGAGAUUUAUCAUCAUGUUCUCAUCUUGUGUGAAUGCAUUAACAAUCUAAUCAACAGAACACUUAAAGCAAACUGCCUUUUAAUCUUCUAAUCAGUGAUCUAGCUUUUUUAAAGCAAUAACUGUCUUAAUAUAUUUGAGUUAGAUGGUCACAGAAAUACACAACUAAUAUGUAAAUAAAUAAAGUUGCUUCCAGCAUCAUAUGUGACCUUUGAUUAAAAACAGUCCUUGGAGUUUCAAAAAGAUAAAUAGUCAGACCAGAGUUGUAUUGCAAAUUAAGUUAAAAGUUAUGAAUAUUCCAGUUGGUAAAUAAGGAUUGUAAUAUUCAAACUAUACUGAAUUUGAUUUCUGAUUAAUAUAGUUAAGGUUUCAGAAUUAGAAACUUUUUUUUAUAGGAAGUAGACCAAAUUUACUAUUGUAUUGAAGACACACUAGUAAAUAUAAAGUGUCAUUUACUAAAGAAAAGACUGACAGUAGCAGCCACAUCCAGGGUAAUUUUUGUUGUACUUAUUACUGCCCUUCCCUUCUUUCACUGUAGUUUCUAUGGGCUAAAUUCUGUCACCUAUAUCUCCUGAGCAUGAUGGAAAGCCAAAGAGAUGGGACCAGUUGUAGAUAGACUUCUGUAUCCUUGAUUAUCCACGCAUGGAUGUAAGUCAAUGGAGGCAGACCAUUGCACUCUGCCUGACUUACAUACAGAGCCAGUUCAUCUCCACAAGCUAUCAAGACUUCAUUAGUGACCCUGUGUAAUUUCUGAAGCCUUCCCCUCAUCACCCCAAUCAUGUGCAAAGUUAGCCUAGCUCACCAUUACUACAACAUAUGGUGACAACCAGAAAAGGAACAGGCCCCCACACAAGCCCACUGGAACAGUGUUAUUGCUCUGGAUAUUUACUUGCAAAUGUUUAAUGGAGUUGAUUAAACAUCACAAUGUAAAACUAAUUUUUUCCUCCGUUAUAGUAUACGUAAAAAGAGUAG